CUGAUCAACUGUGAAGGCUGAGACAUAGCCACCCCCACCCAUUCUGAAAAGGAAAAGCCCUCAGAGCUUCCCAGACUGGCACCUGCUCCUAGGGUGUGAGGAGGGUAGCACAGGGUCUGCCCUCAGAGACCUCAGGCUCAGAGAAUCAAGCUUCUCCCUCCCCUCCUGGGACCUACAGGGUCUGAGAUCGUCCACCAGGAGGAGGAGAAAGGAGUAGAGACCCCCUUCCUCGCUGCUGUCCUGGGACAGCCGGCACCCCUGGCACCCUCUGCCUCCCCACACUUCCAUGGCUUUGCCCUCUUGGCUUUCUGAGCCUCUGCCAAGCUUCUGUGCAUUCUUCAAGACCCACCUCAAAAGCCACCUCCAGGAAGCUGUCCUGGGUUCCUGUCCCUCGACCCCCAACAGAAUUAACUGCCCUCUCCUCUGCUCCCGCCUCCUGCUCCAGGCCCCUGGGGCUCACAGCUCUCAGGCUGUGGUUUUUCUCACCUUCCUGCAGCACAGCACCUCCCUGCGCAGACCAACCUUAUCCAAUCAACAAACGGGCACUGAGUCCCUCCCUGAGCAAGCUCCGUGGAGGAAAGGGGCCGCCACGUGGGGGAUGUGAGAUAGUUUAUCCCCUUGGCCUACAUGUAGGGGUGGGCUGGAUGAGGCACCCCUCUCAUUGAAAGUCCUGUGGAGGCUCUGAGGGCACCCACAGUAUCUAGAGCUGGGGCCAGAAGCUGGACCUGUUGCCAACCAAGACGCUGUCUCCCUGGCCCUUGCUUCCCUCACUGUGAGAAUAGGAGCGGUGCACGCAAAGGCAUGCCCUCAGCAGCCCUUUGAGGGGGGUGCUGUGAGGGGAUUGGUGGCCAGGGCACAGAAAGGUUAAGUGGCUGGCUGAGGUCACACAGCAAGGCAGGUGCAACUCCAAGAGGUCUCUGCACAGGGCAUGUUCUCUGUCUGCCCUCUCUGCUACUCCAGGUGUGGCCUCGGGAGAGGGCUGGUCUCCAACUGCACACUUCCUGGAUAGCAGUGAUCAUGGACACAUUUCAGGUUGGGCACUUGCAGUGCCAAGGGGAGGAGGACGCAAUGUGAAGGGAAGGUUUCUUGGUCGUGGUCUGGAUUGACAAGGAGGGCCAGAGGCAAACAAGGAUCAUCCAGACGGGACGGUUCACCUCUCCCUAACCUCCACAGCGACCCCAGGGCUGUUGGGCACCAGAGGAGGAAAUGCUGACUCACUAAUAGGAAGCUGGGACACACCCUCGUGUUGCAACCGUGGCCUCCCGGGGGUGCGUCGGCCUCAUCUGGCCACUGGGCUGGCGUCCCCCUCUGCUUUCCAUCAGCGCAUACUGGAUUCCCUCACCUUUUGCCGUCCCCACACUGCGCCACCCUGCACCUGGCACCACUCAGCACCUCCUCCUGGCCCUACCCGUCCGCCAUGGAAUCCAGCCACUGAGAAAGGCACCAUUGAAACAGACAUAAUCAUGGGUCAGAAGAUGUGACUCAGCCUCUACUCAAAUCUGUUUGUCAAACCAAAAGGUGCUUCGUGUUUAAGUCAAACUAUCCCUAAUGCAUUUUCCAUUCUCUUCAAAAACCACAGCCAUCAGUUUUAAAAAAAGACAGAAAACAUGAAGCACACUUCUCUUGCCUGGCUUACCAUUUUCUUUGAUCCAUUAAAAUCCAAGAGUGAGCCCUUCCUCGUCUCUAGAGUGUGGAGCAAAGAGGGAAUAAUUAUCCAUAAAGUGGCCUUCUGAGUGUUUGCUUUGCGAUGAAAGAAAACUUUUGAGAGCUUGGAAUAAAGAAGGAAUAUGGGCUCCCUUUCCUGCAGUAGCUACUUUGUUUGGGUCUGAGAAGCACCAGUCAUGGUCAAGCAAAAUUCACCAGACUCAGAAAACUGCCCUGCCCCGUGACUUCCAUCUGCUCCUCUCCUGAUAAUUGUAAAAGCCAAUGAAGAUUGUGCUUCUUAACUACACAUCAGCCGGCUGAUUGUAAGUGUUGGGAAUAUAAUUAGGGGUACACGGCUCUGACCCUCACUCUUCGUAGGUUUAACAAGAUUGGACUUACGCAAUGGCAAGAAGGAAACCGAGAUUGAAAAUGACCAAUUUUGCUGGUUGAGAGGCGUCUUGUUUUCUGGAAGAAACUGAGAAUCUGCAGUUGUAGACUGGGAAUGCUAGAACCUCUGGAGUGGC